rnacentral:rRNA from 1 species
CAGGGAUUGCCUCAGUAACGGCGAGUGAAGCGGCAACAGCUCAAAUUUGAAAUCUGACCCCCUUGGGGCCCGAGUUGUAAUUUGUAGAGGGUGUUUCGGGCGCGGCGCCGGUCUAAGUUCCUUGGAACAGGACGUCACAGAGGGUGAGAAUCCCGUACGUGACCGGCGAUCAAGCCCAUGUGAAGCCCCUUCGACGAGUCGAGUUGUUUGGGAAUGCAGCUCAAAAUGGGUGGUAAAUUUCAUCUAAAGCUAAAUAUUGGCCAGAGACCGAUAGCGGACAAGUAGAGUGAUCGAAAGAUGAAAAGCACUUUGGAAAGAGAGUCAAACAGUACGUGAAAUUGUUGAAAGGGAAGCGCUUGCAAUCAGACCGGUCCGGGGGCGAUCAGCCGCUGCUCGUCAGCGGUGCACUCGCCCUCGAUCCGGCCAGCAUCGGUUUGGGCGGCGGGAGAAAAGUCCCGGGAAUGUAGCUUCCUUCGGGGAGUCUUAUAGCCCGGGUCGGCAUGCCGCCCGCCUGGACCGAGGACCGCGCUUCGGCUAGGAUGCUGGCGUAAUGGUUGCAAGCGACCCGUCUUGAAACACGGACCAAGGAGUCUAACAUCUAUGCGAGUGUUUGGGUGUCAAACCCGGGCGCGGAAUGAAAGUGAACGGAGGUGGGAACCCGUCAGACGGCGCACCAUCGACCGAUCCAGAUGUCUUCGGAUGGAUUUGAGUACGAGCAUAGCUGUUGGGACCCGAAAGAUGGUGAACUAUGCCCGGAUAGGGUGAAGCCAGAGGAAACUCUGGUGGAGGCUCGCAGCGGUUCUGACGUGCAAAUCGAUCGUCAAAUCUAGGCAUAGGGGCGAAAGACCAAUCGAACCAUCUAG